AUGAACGCUAGCGACAGGCUUAACACAUGCAAGUCGAGGGGCAGCGGGGGUAGCAAUACCCGCCGGCGACCGGCGCACGGGUGAGUAACGCGUAUGCAACUUACCUAUCAGAGGGGGAUAACCCGGCGAAAGUCGGACUAAUACCGCAUGAAGCAGGGGCCCCGCAUGGGGAUAUUUGCUAAAGAUUCAUCGCUGAUAGAUAGGCAUGCGUUCCAUUAGGCAGUUGGCGGGGUAACGGCCCACCAAACCGACGAUGGAUAGGGGUUCUGAGAGGAAGGUCCCCCACAUUGGUACUGAGACACGGACCAAACUCCUACGGGAGGCAGCAGUGAGGAAUAUUGGUCAAUGGGCGUAAGCCUGAACCAGCCAAGUCGCGUGAGGGAUGAAGGUUCUAUGGAUCGUAAACCUCUUUUAUAAGGGAAUAAAGUGCGGGACGUGUCCCGUUUUGUAUGUACCUUAUGAAUAAGGAUCGGCUAACUCCGUGCCAGCAGCCGCGGUAAUACGGAGGAUUCGAGCGUUAUCCGGAUUUAUUGGGUUUAAAGGGUGCGUAGGCGGCCUUUUAAGUCAGCGGUGAAAGUCUGUGGCUCAACCAUAGAAUUGCCGUUGAAACUGGGGGGCUUGAGUAUGUUUGAGGCAGGCGGAAUGCGUGGUGUAGCGGUGAAAUGCUUAGAUAUCACGCAGAACCCCGAUUGCGAAGGCAGCCUGCCAAGCCAUGACUGACGCUGAUGCACGAAAGCGUGGGGGUCAAACAGGAUUAGAUACCCUGGUAGUCCACGCAGUAAACGAUGAUCACUAGCUGUUUGCGAUACAGUGUAAGCGGCACAGCGAAAGCGUUAAGUGAUCCACCUGGGGAGUACGCCGGCAACGGUGAAACUCAAAGGAAUUGACGGGGGCCCGCACAAGCGGAGGAACAUGUGGUUUAAUUCGAUGAUACGCGAGGAACCUUACCCGGGUUUGAACGCAUUCGGACCGAGGUGGAAACACCUUUUCUAGCAAUAGCCGUUUGCGAGGUGCUGCAUGGUUGUCGUCAGCUCGUGCCGUGAGGUGUCGGCUUAAGUGCCAUAACGAGCGCAACCCUUGCCACUAGUUACUAACAGGUGAUGCUGAGGACUCUGGUGGGACUGCCAGCGUAAGCUGCGAGGAAGGCGGGGAUGACGUCAAAUCAGCACGGCCCUUACAUCCGGGGCGACACACGUGUUACAAUGGCGUGGACAAAGGGAAGCCACCUGGCGACAGGGAGCGAAUCCCCAAACCACGUCUCAGUUCGGAUCGGAGUCUGCAACCCGACUCCGUGAAGCUGGAUUCGCUAGUAAUCGCGCAUCAGCCAUGGCGCGGUGAAUACGUUCCCGGGCCUUGUACACACCGCCCGUCAAGCCAUGGGAGCCGGGGGUACCUGAAGUCCGUAACCGCGAGGAUCGGCCUAGGGUAAAACUGGUGACUGGGGCU
rnacentral:rRNA from 1 species